ACGGGGGGUGCAAGCGUUGUUCGGAAUUAUUGGGCGUAAAGGGCGUGUAGGCGGCCGGGUAAGUCUGAUGUGAAAGUCCUGCGUUUAACGCGGGAAUUGCUUUGGAUACUGUCGGGCUUGAGUGGAGGAGAGGUAAGUGGAAUUCCCGGUGUAGCGGUGAAAUGCGUAGAGAUCGGGAGGAACACCGGUGGCGAAGGCGACUUACUGGACUGUAACUGACGCUGAGGCGCGAAAGUGUGGGGAGCAAACAG
rnacentral:rRNA from 1 species